rnacentral:tRNA from 2 species
GUUUUUAUAAUUUAAAAUUAAAAUUUUAGUUUUGUAAACUAAAUAUGGAAUUUAAUUCCUUAAAACA